rnacentral:lncRNA from 1 species
CCUUUUAUUGAUCACUACCUAUGGCCAUAUAAAUGAGAUCUGUGACUCGGUCCACUCUAAACAUGCGUACAGAAAGCACAUUUUAUCCAAUGCACAUAUGAAAUAUGACGGUACAAAACAGACGGAACGAUGACAUAUAUGGAUGAUUGGACGCUGCAACUAACUUGGAUAUCGCUCCAGUCCACCGAGCGGACAAACUUAGAAACAGAAAGCCCACACCAAUCGCUUCUCCUGCAACUGUAUAGCAUGUGUAGGAGUUAAAAAUUGAGGUAACGUGCACAUACAGCAGAGUUAUUCAGCUAGAAAAGCACAGACAUACAUCAUUGUCAGGUUACACAGCUGAAUUCUGCUUCCUGACCCUCCUGAUUCAGACAUCUGGCACAUAGAUGGGUGUGCCUCAUAAGUCGUGAAUCAGAUCACAGAAAAGACAGACGAACAGGAUUGGUAACUUAUAAAUUGACUGGAAGGGCAGACUGGAUGCCAUCAGUGUACAGCUUGCACCAGUUGGUUGGUGCGCUACCCCUCGAUCUGAAUGUGAGUAGAAAAUUCGAACACCUCAUGAAGUGUCAUUUUGAUAUACUAAAGUGCAUUUCAGCAGGAAAAGCACAGAAUAAGUACUUGCAUGUCCUUAAGAACUCCGACAUUUUGGGUCUGCGCAUACUAUUAUCAGAGAUUAGGGGCACAUAUUUUCAGAAUUAGCACAAAUUAGGCAGCGCAACAACAUAUUUGUUACACUGAUUAGCAGAGUCCUCAUGCUAAGAAAAUGUGGAACCAUCAUAUUAAUGGCUAGCUAGGAUCAUAUUUGCAACCUGGGAACUUGGUAUGCUGGGUCCAACACGCCUGGUGAAAGCAUAUUUCCUCUGAUAUGCACAUAUGAACUGAUGUGACUGCUACAAAACAGAAGAGGCAGUGAGAUAUAAGGAUGAUCGGAGACAGUGACUGGAUCUGGAUAUUGCUCCAGUCCACCGAGCGGACGAACUUCCUAGGAGCUCUCUUCUCGGACAUCGAAGGGAAACGAAACUUCCACGCAAAAUUGCUUCAACUUCUCAGACAUAGAGCGGCGUAGGCGGAAAUUUGAUGAGUCUUUGAAGUAACAUCCACAGAAAGCACGGAGUAAUUCAGCUAGCAAAGCACAAACCUAUACAUUAGGGUCUGUCAGGCUAGACAAGUGAAUUCUGCUUCAAGGAGCUGGGUGCAGAUGGGCGCGCCCCUUAAAUUCACGUGAAUCGAAUUGCACCCGACGAGACGAGGAGCUCGGAGACCUUCUCGUGGAGACCAUCUGCGACUGCGAGGGAUGUAAAACGGGAGGUCAGAAGAGGAAACAUUAGAGGUUGGGGGUGGGAAGGAGGGGGGAGGGGAACGAGUGAGUGCCUUGAGCGGAGGCGGCGGUGGAGGGGGUCUUGGAGGGCGCGGAAGCCCGGACGGAGGCGAGCCUGAGUCGGCGAGCGGCCGCGGCCCGAGGCGGUCUGGCCGGCGAGGAGGACGAACAAGGGAGAGGACGACGCAAGAUCCGCGAAAUGUGGGUUGGGCUUGUG